CACGUAGGAGGCGAGCGUUAUCCGGAUUCACUGGGCGUAAAGCGCGUGCAGGCGGCUUGGUAAGUUGGGCGUGAAAGCUCCCGGCUCAACUGGGAGAGGUCGUUCAAUACUACCAAACUAGAGAGUAGAAGAGGAAGAUGGAAUUCCCGGUGUAGUGGUGAAAUGCGUAGAUAUCGGGAGGAACACCAGUGGCGAAGGCGACUACCUGGCCUGUUUCUUGACGCUGAGGCGCGAAAGCUAGGGGAGCAAACGGG
rnacentral:rRNA from 1 species